GAUUAACGCUGGCGGCGUGCAUAACACAUGCAAGUCGAACGAAGUGGCGGACGGGUGAGUAACGCGUGAGUAACCUGCCUUACACAAGGGGAUAGCCGUUGUAAACGACGAAUACUACCCUAUGGUGUAAGAUGGUCUCGCGUCUGAUUAGCUAGUUGGUGCGGUAAUGGCCCACCCAGGCAACGAUCAGUAGCCGGCUUGAGAGAGUGUACGGCAACAGUGGGACUGAGACAAGGCCCAGACUCGACGGGAGGCAGCAGUGGGGAAUUUUGCACAAUGGGGGAAAGCAUGAUGCAGCGACGCCGCGUGAUUUAGAAAGCCGUCGGGUUGUAAAAAUCUUUUGUAUGGGAAGCAGUACCAUACGAAUAAGGACCGGCUAAUUACGUGCCAGCCGCCGCGGUAAUUC
rnacentral:rRNA from 1 species